rnacentral:rRNA from 1 species
CCCUUAGAUGCUCUGGGCUGCACGCGUGCUACAAUGGCGUUUCCAGCAAGUCUGCGAACCCGAGAGGGCCAGCGGAUCUUCGAAUUGGCGUCGUGAUCGGGACAGUCGAUUGCAAUUAUUUGACUCAAACGAGGAAUUCCUUGUAAUCGCGAUUCAUCAUAUCGCGCUGAAUACGUCCCUGCCCUUUGUACACACCGCCCGUCGCUCCUACCGAUUGAGCGAUCCGGUAAAUGUUUUGGAUUGGUGCCGGGGCGGCUAGCUGCCGGUCGCUACGAAAUUUUGUGAACCUUAUCGCUUAGAGGAAGGAAAAGUCGUAACA